ACAAGAACUAACUAUGACACAGUCUAAUGGAUUUGUUAGUUCUUGUGUCACUUGGUUCAGUCGGAGAGGAUUCCAUGCACCGUCGGGUCACUUGCACCAGCAGUGUGCAAGUCACGUGCGUUAACAGACGUUGCCAUCCGUUGGUUAGUGAAGAAAACGAAAACAAAGAAUCUAGGGUGAGCCGAUCUACAAAACCCAUAUGGCCAUACGACGGGAAGUUAGCUAACGCGCCAUCACCAACGGUUUGCUGACCCCAACGGCUGCCGAUCGUGUCUACUUCCUCACGUCCCCCAUCUUUUGCAAAAGGGUUCCACCUUUCUUUACUCUAAAGUUUAUUGUAGAUGGUUGAACCAAUGUUGAAGGCUGCAAUUCAGAUAUCUACAUUGCUGGCUUGAUCUUUGUUCAUGGGAUUCUCUUUGACGCAAAAUUGCACGAGUUCGAGUUUUAGUUCCACAUGUAUUUCCAUGACCCUUUUCCAAUACGUAUAAAGAUAAUAUGGACAGAGCAUGCAUCAAGCCUGGUGGAUGGUUUGAAAGGCAACAAUCUCUACUAUGUAGGUUUAUGUGUUACAUUUUAUCCAUGGAGGAGUAGGGGAGAACGCACAUAUCAUGCCGAGAAUUGAGGCUGCCGAGAAUUUCUUUUCUCAUUUAAGUGGUUUGAUAAGAAUUAUUGUUAUUGUAUAUUAAUUUUUUUUUAAUUUGAAAUAUUGGUAGUCACCAAUGUUUGAGGAUGGUGGAUGUAUAUUAAAACAAUGUAAAAAAUCAAGUCACCAAU